rnacentral:tRNA from 1 species
GCUCCUUUAGCUCAGUGGGAGAGCGCGCCACUCGUACGAUUCUAUCUGUUGUACAGACAUGGUGAGGUCACUAGUUCAAUCCUGGUAGGGAGCA